CGCACCUUGCACCCUCUGGUAUUCCGGAGGGUACACCUGUUUGAGUGUCGUGAAAUUCUCAACCCUUGCUCCUUUGUUGGAGUUCAAGGGAUUGGACUUGGGGGUCUUUGGCGGUCCUUAGCAGAUCGCCUCCCCUUAAAUGCAGUUGUGCGACUCGUUGUUUCGUAACCUUCGGUGUGAUAAUUAUCUACGUCGUCGGUCUAUCGUUACUGUCAAGAGACGUGCUUUCUAACCGUCCCUCGGGACAACAUCAUGAAACUUGACCUCAAAUCAGGUGGGACUACCCGCUGAACUUAA
rnacentral:misc_RNA from 1 species